GAAGUUCUUCAUAUUAUAUCUUGUUUCUCUUUCUCAUAAACAUGAUGAGGCUUGAAUCCAUCAUGGGUUUGAGCUUUCUCAUGGAGUUUAGAGAGUAGACACUCCUUGGAUUCAUGGGUUAGGGAGAUUAGAGUAACUUAGUGAAGAUCUAUGGUGUUAUUGUAUUAGAUCCUUGUAUGAACUUGCUUGUUGAGUAUUUUUAAUGCUUGUUUAGUCUUGAUCACUCUAAACCUGAUUUCUAAACACUUCUCAUCAGACAUGAUUAGAUGAAGUGUUUGAAUCAUCUCAACUAAGCUCUAGUGAGAUUAGCCAAG
rnacentral:lncRNA from 1 species